rnacentral:tRNA from 1 species
CGCGGGGUGGAGCAGUCUGGUAACUCGUCAGGCUCAUAACCUGAAGGUCGUGGGUUCGAAUCCCACCUCCGCAA